CAUAACCGACUAUAAAUAUUUCUAUUCUUCCGUGAAAAUACUCGUUCAGAUCAAAAUGAGAAUUUUAUUUUACAGUGUAUUUUUCCUCUGUGUAAUAUUCGUUGUGUUGAGUAGUGGUGCUACAUUAAAUACACAUCGCAUAAGAAGAUUUCUUGUUAAUCGAGUAAACUGUCCCUAUAAUGAGAUAUACCUGCGAGGACGAUGUCGAAAGUUGUAUUGGUAACUCGCUCCCUUUUCGAUAACACACUAAUAAGGAUCCAAGUAACCAGCUUCAUCUGAGUAUACUGUAUGCAAUUAAAUCAUAUACGCAAUAAAAUUGUUUAAAAGCA